GAACGCCUUAUGCCAUGAAAGUGGCACGUAGGGUGUGGACCGAGUGAACUCAAAGAAGCUUGACACGGGACAUUUUGAAAUUAUGGAUUUCGGGAUGCCUUUUUAUUUGCAAU
rfam:Clostridium proteolyticum DSM 3090 genome assembly, contig: EJ39DRAFT_scaffold00011.11